rnacentral:rRNA from 1 species
GAGUUUGAUCAUGGCUCAGGACGAACGCUGGCGGCGUGCUUAACACAUGCAAGUCGAGCGGAAAGGCCCUUCGGGGUACUCGAGCGGCGAACGGGUGAGUAACACGUGAGCAACCUGCCCUAGGCUUUGGGAUAAACCCCUCGGAAACGGGGGCUAAUACCGAAUAUUACUUGGUCUCGCAUGAGGUUGGGUGAAAGUUUUUCGGCCUAGGAUGGGCUCGCGGCCUAAUCAGCUUGUUGGUGGGGUAAUGGCCUACCAAGGCGACGACGGGUAGCCGGCCUGAGAGGGCGACCGGCCACACUGGGACUGAGACACGGCCCAGACUCCUACGGGAGGCAGCAGUGGGGAAUAUUGCACAAUGGGCGGAAGCCUGAUGCAGCGACGCCGCGUGAGGGAUGACGGCCUUCGGUGU